CGCUGCAAGGCUUGGGGCUUUAUUCUGCCAUAAACUUUGCUAAAAUAUUCUGCUCUCUCAGCCUCUCCUGCUGCUGCGUUGUGUCAGGUUUGUACAGCUUCUCCAGAACUGGGGGAAUUUCCACAGAAAGGUGAAUCAGCCCACAGACAUCUCCCUCAGCCAGGAAAGAACACUCUGGAUUGUGAGGAUCAGCUGAGCUGUAUAACCCAGGCCCUUCACUUUUCCAGAGCUGAGGUCCCAGACUGGUCUCUGGAGGUAUCCCAGUGAGCAGGAGAGCGAGUGCUUAGACCCAAACCAGCUGCCCGGGGCAGGGCAAGGAAGGGUCAGACAGCAGGAGCUGGAGAAAACCUGAGAGCCUCUGCCAGAGCUGAGGAAAGGUGGGAGGAUACCUGCUCCAAAAAGGUCAUUCACGAGGUUGACGAUCUUCUCCUUGGGGAUCUGCGUGGCCGUGUUUGUUCCCGUUUUUUUGUCCAGGCACUGCUCAAUGAGGGAGUCCGUGAUGUCCCGGAUGUUGUUCUGGGAGGAAGAGGAGACAAGCUGAUGGAGCAGGGCUGCAGAGGGGGUUCCUGUGGGAACAAGGAGAGGGUUCUCUGAGGAACCCGAGGUUCAGCCCCCAGACUGGCCACAUCACAGAGGGAAGGGAGGAGAUGCUGAGAGGCUCAUGAAGCUGAGACCAGGGAGGUUCAGGGCCAGGGGCUGGAUUGGAUGAUCCAUAUGUGAGCCAAGUCAGGACAUUCCAUGAUUCCACAACACCCUAUGACUCUGUGAGAAGGAGGACUGGGGAGAGACAGCGGCCAUUGCUGCUUGGCUGCCAGAACACAAACACCUCGCUGACAGAGAGGGGAGGAGAGCAGAGGCUCCUGCAAGCCCUUACCUCGUCGUAGGUCUCGUAGUGCUCCUUGACCCUCUUCUGCAGGAAGCUGACGAAGUACCUGUUGAAGUCUAUGAACAGCCUCAUGCUGCGGCUGGGCAGGUAGCGCAGCACGGGGAUGAAGUCGGCGGGGUUGCCAGCGGCAGCCACGUCAGUGAACUCCUUGGUGGAAUUCACCAGGCUGAGCAGCUCCUGGUCCUCGUGCUCGUAGCGCUUCCCGAAGCACAUGGCGCAGAUGACAUUGGCCACCGACACCACCAGAUACCGGUGGGGCUCAAACCUCUUCUGCUCCUCCAUCACCUGAAGGAACUUGCUGACCAGGUACUCGGCCUCCUUGGAGACGUGCUCCUCCAGCAGGCAGCUGCACGACGACGUGGGGCUGGGGGCGGUGGAGAAGCUCUUCAGGGCGCUCUGGGCCAGCUUC